rnacentral:rRNA from 1 species
AUACGGAGGGUGCAAGCGUUAUUCGGAAUCACUGGGCGUAAAGGACGCGUAGGCGGGUCGGCAAGUCAGAUGUGAAAUCCUACAGCUUAACUGUAGAACUGCAUUUGAAACUGCUAACCUAGAGUAUGGGAGGGGGAGAUGGAAUUAGUGGUGUAGGGGUAAAAUCCGUAGAUAUCACUAGGAAUACCGAAAGCGAAGGCGAUCUCCUGGAACAUAACUGACGCUAAGGCGUGAAAGCGUGGGGAGCAAACGGGAUUAGAAACCCUAGUAGUCC